rnacentral:rRNA from 1 species
GACGAACGCUGGCGGCGUGCUUAACACAUGCAAGUCGAACGGAAAGGCCCUGCUGUUGUGGGGUGCUCGAGUGGCGAACGGGUGAGUAACACGUGAGUAACCUGCCCUUGACUUUGGGAUAACUUCAGGAAACUGGGGCUAAUACCGGAUAGGAGCUCCUGCUGCAUGGUGGGGGUUGGAAAGUUUCGGCGGUUGGGGAUGGACUCGCGGCUUAUCAGCUUGUUGGUGGGGUAGUGGCUUACCAAGGCUUUGACGGGUAGCCGGCCUGAGAGGGUGACCGGCCACAUUGGGACUGAGAUACGGCCCCGACUCCUACGGGAGGCAGCAGUGGGGAAUAUUGCACAAUGGGCGGAAGCCUGAUGCAGCAACGCCGCGUGCGGGAUGACGGCCUUCGGGUUGUAAACCGCUUUCGCCUGUGACGAAGCGUGAGUGACGGUAAUAGGUAAAGAAGCACCGGCUAACUACGUG